AUACUAAAACUGUUUAAUUGAUGCACUGAUGCUAAAAAUGUAUUUUUCCUGUUUUAGCACAACAGUGGAGAAUGCAGGUUAAAACAGAUGGAGAUUCCCCAGGGCCAAAGGAGUGUAAAAGAACCCUUGUGAUUCACGGCUCAAAGGGCAAAAGUGAUGAGCUUCUGCUUUCUCCACAAGCCCCGGGAUAUGUGUGCUUUCUCCCCAGAGCAACUGAUGAAUUAAUUUCUGUAAAUAUGUUAUUUCCGUACAUAUUGGUGACUGCUGGGGAGCAGAGCCUUUUGCAAAUGUUAUAUCACUCUCUAUGGCAAAAGAGAGGACACACGUGUGAGGAAACUUCAUACAUUUUUAACAAAAGGAAGAAAAUUUCAAAGAAAUAAGGUGGAUUCAUUUUUGGUGGAAGCUGUUUCUCUGAGUCAUUUGCAAAAAGUGCUCAUACGACAUGAUGGAGAAGGCUGCAGGGCAGGGAUGUACCUCAAGACAGUAACAGUCAAGGAAUCACAAGAUUCAGACAAAGAAUGGGUCUUUCCAUUGUGGAACUGGCUUGAUACUUAUCUGGGCUUAUGUGAGACUGCUUGUGAGAUUGUAACAGUUGGUAGAAGGUCGACUCUUAGUCCUGAAUUGCCUGAAAUCAACAUGAAGUCAUCAAGUCUCUGGAUAAUGGAUAUCACUGGAUCUGACUUAAGUGGUGAAGAGGAUCCAAUAAGCCUUUCUUUUACCUUCUACAGCAACCUGAGUCACAAAAAGUUGCCACUUCAAGUCAGAGGAAAAGCAAUUCAGAUCAAAAAUGAACUGGCAGAUAUUGGCUCAAUACAUAAAGUUCAGGUAACUGGCCCACACAGUGAGCUAAAACAACCAUUGCACUUAGAUUUAUUGCAUAUGAAGCACACAGGCACAAAGGAAGAGAUGUAUUUAGAUUUUGACUGCUGGUUCAACCCUAAGGAAGACAGAUGUGGAGCUGCCAGCUCUCUAUGCAGAUCAGGAGCCUUUGCCUGUUGUGGAAUAUGAAAGCCAUUUUCACACGGGAGACUUGAAGAAGGCAGAUGCCACUGGAGAGGUUUAUCUUCGUAUACAAGGAAAAAAAAGUGACUCAGGAAGAGAUGGCUUGACUUGAACAGCCUAAUCACUUUCUCUAGAGGGCAGGUAAAAUAAUGAGGAAAAAUGUGACUUAAUCUGUUAGUGUCUUUUUGUUAGAACUCAUGUUCUCAG
rnacentral:lncRNA from 1 species